GCAGCGUAACACAGGCAACUCGGAAGGAGUAUGUGGAAUCAACAUGCUGGCUUCGUAUCCCAUCAAGACACAUCCAAACCCUCCUCCACCGUCACCUCCAGGUCCCACAAAAUGCAACCUUUUCACAUAUUGUUCAGCUGACGAGACUUGUUGCUGUGCGAGAAACUUGUUUGGUUUGUGUUUCUCGUGGAAAUGCUGCGAGCUAGAGUCUGCUGUGUGUUGCAAGGACGGUCGACAUUGUUGUCCGCGUGAUUACCCCGUCUGUGACACAACCAGAAGUCUUUGCCUUAAGGUAUUCUUCUAGCUGUGACCUAGGCCUGCGGGUUCGGUUUAUUCGGGUAGUUCAGGUCGGUCAAAAUCUCACAGAAAUGAACUCAAAAAGUUUAGUUUGGUUAGUUUUCGGUUAGUUCAGUUUCAAAAAUAAUUACCGAAGUUAUUUUUUUUGUUUUGCGGUUUGUUCAGUUAGAUUUUCGGUUUACAUUGAAAUUUUUUUGAAAAGUUUUGGUUAAUAUCGGUUCGGAUUUUGGUUAGUUUGUUCGAUUAUUUUGAUUCGGAUUUUGGUUAGUUCGGUUCCGAAUUUCGGUUAAGAUUGGUACUGUUUGAAUUUUUUUUAAAAUAAAAAAUCAAACCAAUUACCGAACUGAACCAAAAACCGUUUUUAACUAACUGAACCGAAGCCAAACUAAUCGAAAACCGAACUUUUCGGUUUAGUUUGGCAAAUUCGGUUCGGUUAAAAAUCCCAGCCCUACUGUGACCCAUGGAUUGUAUAUACUGAUCACAAUGCUCUACCUCUAAGCUUUUGUUGACUGAUGAAGCUUACUCUCUGCUUCUUCAGCUCCGUUGCUGGUGGCUAAGGGAGAAAGUGUUGAGAACGUUGGGGGCAAAGUUCCAGAUUCUGUUGAUUGGAGGAAGAAAGGAGCUGUUACUAAUGUCAAAGAUCAAGGAAGCUGCGGUAUUUUGAUUUUAUCUAUCUGCUCAUCAGAUUUGAUUUGAUAGGAGCUUUUGAGUUCAAUGAGUUAGUGUGUGAUUCAAAGAUCAAGACUUUAGGAUGGAACUUAGAUCAGAGAAGUAACAAAAAAAAUUGAAAUCUAGGAUCUUUGAGAAUUGUGGACAAGGAUGCUUGAUUCAUCUAUGUUACAUGAAGACCAAUCAUUAUGACAUAGUUUGGGACUGCAAUGCAUCUCUUUCACGCUUUUUAACUUUUAGGAGUAUAAUAAGUUUUUUUACUUUUCUUUUCAUAAUUAUAAAUAGAUAGAUUUAUAAGUAGAUGUCUUGUGGUAUAACUGAAACCAAUUAGGAAAGUCAAGAAGCAAAUAUCCUUGUUUCUUCUAUUACAUUCAUUGCCUGGGAAAGCUGUUUAUCUCAGGUAGAGUUUAGCAAUUUAUAGAACACUGUUACUGAUUAUUGUUUUGGUACAUACAUAGGAGCGUGUUGGUCUUUCUCGGCGACUGGAGCAAUGGAAGGAAUCAACCAGAUUGUAACAGGAGAUCUCAUCAGCCUCUCUGAGCAGGAACUAAUUGAUUGUGACAAGUCCUACAACGAUGGAUGCAAUGGUGGUCUCAUGGACUACGCUUUUCAAUUUGUCAUUAAAAACCAUGGAAUCGACACAGAGAAAGAUUAUCCUUAUCAAGAACGUGAUGGCACCUGUAAAAAAGAUAAGGUAUCACUUUGGAUUUUUCUUCCUCCCUGUUGGCUUCCUUGAUAUUUGACAUCAAAUAACUUACAUAUGUAUCUUCUGUUCUGCAGUUGAAAAGAAAGGUUGUGACAAUUGAUAGCUAUGCUGGCGUAAAAUCAAACGACGAGAAAGCGUUACUGGAAGCUGUAGCGGCUCAGCCAGUUAGUGUUGGCAUCUGUGGCAGCGAGAGAGCGUUUCAGCUAUACUCUAAGGUACGUUUGGAUGAUAUAAAGAUACACCUACUCUUUUCUCUGGACGUUUAAAGUUUUAAAAUCUUGCCAUUUGAUGCAGGGAAUAUUCUCUGGCCCAUGUUCAACAUCAUUGGACCACGCAGUGCUCAUCGUAGGAUACGGUUCACAGAACGGUGUUGAUUACUGGAUCGUGAAGAACUCUUGGGGAAAGAGCUGGGGAAUGGAUGGGUUUAUGCACAUGCAGCGUAACACAGGCAACUCGGAAGGAGUAUGUGGAAUCAAUAUGCUCGCUUCGUAUCCCAUCAAGACACAUCCAAACCCUCCUCCACCGUCCCCUUCCGGCCCCACGAAAUGCAACCUUUUCACCUAUUGUGCAGCUGAUGAGACUUGUUGCUGUGCGAGAAACUUGUUUGGUUUGUGUUUCUCGUGGAAAUGCUGCGAGCUAGAGUCUGCUGUGUGUUGUAAGGAUGGUCGUCAUUGUUGUCCUCGUGAUUACCCCG
rnacentral:lncRNA from 1 species